AACCUAGCACACCUGCGGUGUGUACCUGCGGAAGGAUCAUUACUGAGUGUAAAAACUCCCAAACCCAUUGUGAACAUACCACUGUUGCUUCGGCGGAUACGCCCCGGGCGCGCUCUUCACAGGGCGUGCCCCGGAACCAGGCGCCCGCCGGGGGACCGAAACUCUUGUUUUCUUAGGAUCUCUGAGUGUGAUUAUUAAAUAAAUCAAAACUUUUAACAAUGGAUCUCAGAUCGGAAGAGC
rnacentral:misc_RNA from 1 species